UCCCCGUUGGUCUAACGGUCAGGAUACGGCACUUUCACUGCUGAGGUCGGGGUUCGAUUCCCCGGCGGGGAG
rnacentral:tRNA from 1 species